UCGUCGACAGAUCGUAUUUAUUCGGCCACCCGUUGCUGUUCCAUUGAUAUAGCUUUUAUUUAAUUAAAUUCUACCUGCAGUGUAAGUACAAAGUUCGAGAUAACUACCUCGAGCUUCAGUUUGUUCUUGAUUACGUUGCUUUGUGCUCGUAUUAUUGCGUUAGUCGUUCAAUUGCGUUAACUUUCUCGUGUCACGCUUUUCCUCCCGAUCGUAUCUUCGACUGAUUUUUUUCGUUUUCUCGUGAGUGAGUGAAAUCUGCUGCUUCCAAGAUGUGUAACUGUGGCACCAUUGUUGUAUGCUGUAUCUUGUUCGCCAUCGCGAUCGCCGUGGCGAUCUACUAUGGUGUGUUCAACGUCGAUGACUCAGCACCAGAGGUAGGCGAUUUCAUCAAAAAGACUGGAGAUUCGAUCAAACACGGCAUCAAGGAGGGUGCCAAAAA